rnacentral:rRNA from 1 species
GACGAACGCUGGCGGCGUGCUUAACACAUGCAAGUCGAACGGAAAGACCCUGCUUUUGUGGGGUGCUCGAGUGGCGAACGGGUGAGUAACACGUGAGUAACCUGCCCUUGACUUUGGGAUAACUUCAGGAAACUGGGGCUAAUACCGGAUAGGAGCUCCUGCUGCAUGGUGGGGGUUGGAAAGUUUCGGCGGUUGGGGAUGGACUCGCGGCUUAUCAGCUUGUUGGUGGGGUAGUGGCUUACCAAGGCUUUGACGGGUAGCCGGCCUGAGAGGGUGACCGGCCACAUUGGGACUGAGAGACGGCCCAGACUCCUACGGGAGGCAGCAGUGGGGAAUAUUGCACAAUGGGCGGAAGCCUGAUGCAGCAACGCCGCGUGCGGGAUGACGGCCUUCGGGUUGUAAACCGCUUUCGCCUGUGACGAAGUGUGAGUGACGGUAAUGGGUAAAGAAGCACCGGCUAACUACGUG